rnacentral:rRNA from 1 species
UACGAGGGGGGCAAAUGUUGUUCGGAAUCACUGGGCGUAAAGGGUGCGUAGGUGGCUUGGUAAGUUUGAUGUGAAAUCUCCGGGCUUAACCCGGAAAUGGCAUUGAAUACUAUUGAGCUGGAGGUUUGGAGGGGGGACUGGAAUUCUCGGUGUAGCAGUGAAAUGCGUAGAUAUCGAGAGGAACACCAGUGGCGAAGGCGAGUCCCUGGACAACACCUGACACUGAGGCACGAAAGCUAGGGGAGCAAACAGG